rnacentral:lncRNA from 1 species
UACACAGUGCUGACAGGAACAUCUCAGUAGGAAGGGAGAGAAGGACAAAGGCAGGACCUUACAAGCUCGAGCAGGUGAGGCUGGGGUCCUCUUUGCACAACUGGUGAGUGCUGGGCUGGUCACCGUGGCAGGGAGGGAGCCACGUGUGAGUACUGGCACAGGUUCCUCAGGGGAAUUGGGGCUGGGAGCACGCGAAAGUUCUCUUCAAAUUUUCUUAACGAAUUAAGAAUCUAAGAAGUUGUGAAUGCAUUGAGGGAGGGGCUAUUUGACGUUGGAGGAGAGAGAAAAGUGUAAAAUUGUCUCAGAGAGUGGGAGAGUACAUUGAUGAAGGAAGCAGCUGUCAAAUUUUAGGCCACCUCAGAAUCACUUGUCCCUGUCUUUGGCAUGUCUCUGGGAUGGGGCCAGAGAAUUGACAUUUCUUCCUUCCUUCCUUCCUUCCUUCCUUCCUUCCUUCCUUCCUUCCUUCCUUCCUUCCUUUCUUUCUUUCUUUCUUUCUUUCUUUCUUUCUUUCUUUCUUUCUUUUCCUUCUUUCUUUCCUUCUUUCUCUCUUUUUCUUUCUUUCUCUUUCUUUUUUUCUUUCUCUCUCUCUCUCCCUCUCUCUCUUUCUUUCUUUUGAUUUUUUUUUUCAGGAAGAGAAUUUAGUGAUUCAUCGCUUACAUAUAACACCCAGUGCUCAUCCCAACAAGUGCCCUUCUUAAGGGCCCCUUUUAGCCCAUCCCCCCACCCAACACCCUGCCAGCAACCCUCAGUCUGUUCUCUGUAUUUAAGAGUCUCUUAUGAUAUUUCUCCUUCUCUGUUUUUAUCUUAGUUUUGCUUCCUUUCCCCUAUGUUCAUCUGUUUUGUUUCUUAAAUUCCACAAAUGAGUGAAAUCAUCUGAUAUUUGCCUUUCUCUGACUGAUUUAUUUUGCUUAGCAUAAUACACUCUAGCUCCAUCCACAUUGUUGCAAAUGGCAAGAUUUCAUUCUGUUUGAUGGCCGAGUAAUAUUCCGUUGUAUAAGUUCAGGUGAUACUGAUGCUGCUAGCACAGGGAUUUCAUUUUGAGAACCACUGGACUAGGACUAAACCCUAGUUCUUGCACAGACAUGUUUACUACACAGGGGCAUUUGGGUAGAGGGCUGUGCAGAAAAAUUCUUAGAAUUCCAGUAACAGAAGAGAGUUCCAAAUGGGGAUCCAAAGUGACUCUGUUGCCAGCACUGAUAAAAUCGAUGGAGAGAAAGGAAGAUGAUAUUAACACGCACAGAGAAAGGGAGCUAACCUACUUCUUCUGAAAAGUUUGAGAAACAGAUGACAAAAUGGCUCCAGCAGCCAAGCACACAAGGAAGGUCCUUUCACAAACAAUGGUCAUUUAAGAUCUUAGAAAGUCCUAUAAGAUGGAGUCCACAGUAGUGGGUGGAGAGAUACGGAAGAUAAAGACUGCCCAAAGGAGCAUCCUGCCCAUUCAGCCAUGGGAGUAAAAUGAAUGAUCAGAUAUUAUAUUUGGGGAUUCAAGCAAUUUUGGCUUCCAUCUGGAAAUGUUGACUUGAUGGUUGUUACAUGAUAGUUCCAAAAGUUGGUUGAUUUCUUCUCCAGAUAAUUUUGGUAAUGGUGUCUAUUCCACAGUUCACAUAUUUUCAGAAGCUCUGGAAAAGAGGAAAUAAGCAAACGACAGUCAUAUUCCAGGUAGUAAAUGGCAGGGGAAUUGGUGAAACCAAUGUCCAGAAACCAGAAUAAUAUCAGUUUUUUCCCUCCUUUCAGACUUGAUCUUAAGAUGCUCUCAAUGCGUCUACUUCCCCAAGUUGCCUCCUCAGACUUUAGCAUCCUGUACUUGGCUAUUUUUUUUAAUUCAUUUAUUGCUUAAUUUACAUCCAAGUUAGUUAGCAUAUGGUGCAAAAUUGAUUUCAGGAGUAGAUUCCUUAAAGCCUCUUACCCAUUUAGACCAACCCCUGUCCCACAACCCCUCCAGUAACCCUCUGUUUGUUCUCUAUAUUUAAGAGUCUCUUAUGUUUUGUCCCCCUCCCUGUUUUUGUAUUAUUUUUGCUUCCCUGCCCUUGUGUUCAUCUGUUUUAUAUCUUAAAGUCCUCAUAUGAAUGAAGUCAUAUGAUAUUUGUCUUUCUCUGACUAAUUUUGCUUAGCAUAAUACUCUCCAGUUCCAUCCAUGUAGUUGCAAAUGGCAAGAUUUCAUUCUUUUGGAUUGCCAAGUAAUAGUCCAUUGUAUAUACAUACCACAUCUUCUUUAUCCAUUCAUCCGUCGAUGGACAUUUGGGCUCUUUCCAUACUUUGGCUAUUGUCAGUAGCGCUGCUGUAAACAUUGGGGUGCAUGUGCUCCUUCAAAACAGCACACCUGUUUUAUUUAUCCCUUGGAUAAAUACCUAGUAGUGCAAUUGCUGGGUCGUAGGGUAAUCCUAUUUUCAAUUUUUUGAGGAACCUCCAUACUGUUUUCCAGAGUGGCUGCACCAGCUUGCAUUCCCACCAACAAUGCAAAAGAGAUCCUCUUUCUCUGCAUCCUCACCUACAUCUGUUGUUGCCCGAGUUGUUAAUGUUAGCCAUUCUGACAGGUGUAAGGUGGUAUCUUAUUGUGGUUUUGAUUUGUAUUUCCCUGAUGAUGAGUGAUGUUGAGCGUUUUUUCACGUGUCAGUUGGCCCUCUGGAUGUCUUCUUUGAAGAAGUGUCUAUUCAUGUCUUUUGCCCAUUUCUUCACUGGAUUAUUUGUUUUUUGGGUGUUGAGUUUGAAAAGUUCUUUAUAGAUUUUGGAUACUAAGCCUUUAUCUGAUAUGUCAUUUGCAAAUAUCUUCUACCAUCCCGUCGGUUGCCUUUCAGUUUUGCUGAUUGUUUCNNNNNNNNNNNNNNNNNNNNNNNNNNNNNNNNNNNNNNNNNNNNNNNNNNNCAAUAGUUCAUUUUUGCUUUUGUUUCCCUUGCCUCCAGAGACAUGUUGAGUAAGAAGUUGCUGCAGCUGAGGUCAACAGGCUUUUGCCUGCUUUCUCCUCUAGGAGUUUGAUGGCUUCCUCUCUUACAUUUAGGUUUUUCAUCCAUUUUGAGUUUCUUUCUGUGUAUGGUGUAAAAAAGUGGCCCAGGUUCAUUUUUCUGCAUGUUGCUGUCCAGUUUUCCCAGCACCACUUGCUGAAGAGACUGUCUUUAUUCCAUUGGGCCUUCUUUCCUGCUUUGUCAAAGAUUAGUUGGCCCUACAUUUGUGGGUCCAUUUCUGGGUUCUCUAUUCUGUUCCAUUGACCUGAGUGUCUGUUCUUGUGCCAGUACCAUACUGUCUUGAUGAUUACAGCUUUGUAAUAUGUCUUGAAGUCUGGGAGUGUGAUUCUUCAGCUUCGGUUUUCUUUUUCAAGAUUGCUUUGGCUAUUCAGGAUCUUUUCUGGUUCCAUACAAAUUUUAGGAAUAUUUGUUCUAGCUCUGUGAAGAAUGCUGGUGUUAUUUUGAUAGGUAUUGCAUUGAAUAUGUCGAUUGCUUUGGGUAGUAUCAACAUUUUAACAAUGACUUCUAGAACUGAUCCAUUAAUUCAGCAAAGUCACAGGAUAUAAAAUCAGUGCCCAAAAAUUGUUUGCAUUCUUAUACACCAAUAAUGAAACAACAGAAAGAGAAAUCAAGGAAUCGAUCCCAUUUACAAUUGCACCAAAAACCAUAAAAUACCUAGGAAUAAACAUAAUCAAAGAGGUGAAAUAUCUAUACACUGAAAACUAUAGAAAGCUCAUGAAAGAAAUUGAAGAAGACACACACAAAAAAAUGGAAAAAUAUUCCUCUACUUGGCUAUUCUGGAGGUCAUGUUGCUAAUCUCUUCAGGCAUGCCCAGUCUCAAGUUCAUCUCUGACCUCUCCACUCUAACUGAUCACUACACUACUAUCCAUCUCUGGCCCAGUUUUGCAUUAAGAGCUCACACCAUCACCAAUCAGUACAGGGCAGUGUGGAGCAAUUCUCACCUCCAUAUUUUUAUUCAUAUAUUCAUUCACUUAUCCAUUCACUUAAACAUUGAGUGCUGGGGCGCCUGGGUGGCUCAGUCGGUAAAGCAUCCGACUUCAGCUCAGGUCAUGAUCUCGCAGUCUGUGGGUUCAAGCUCCGUGUUGGGUCUGUGCUGACCACUCAGAGCCUGGAGCCUGCUUCAGAUUCUGUCUCCUUCUUUCUCUGCCCCUCCCCUGCUCAUGCUCUGUCUCUCUCUUUCUCAAAAAUAAAUAAACAUUAAAAAAAAAAAAAAAGAAACAUUGAAUGCCUACUGUGGAUUAAGAACCAGAGGCCAUAGUAGGAUCCUAGAGCCUGGGGGUUGAGAGAUGAAUAUGACACAGGUUCUGCUGUUGAGCAGUUCACAAUAUAGUUAGGGGAGAUAGACAUAUUAACAAGUAAUUGCCACGUCAUGUAAUGCACCAGUGGAAUUAUGCACACUGUAUUAUGGUACAAUGGAAUAAGGAGUAAAUAGCUGCACUUGGGGGAGAACACAGAGACUUCUCAGGGGAGGUAACAAUCGAUCUGUGUCCUACAGAAGUUUUCUACUCCAAGGAAAAGAUAAGGGCAUUUCAUACACCAAGAAUGGGGAGGACUUGAAGACCCAAAGGAGUAUGACAUAUUUUGGAGAUGGCAGUUGGUCUGACAAGACAAAAUAGGCAGUUUUGUGUUGUGCUUAAUUGUGCAGGAUCCAAAGCCAAACUAUAUGGGUACAAAUUUGGCUCUUACUCCCUGUGUGAUUUUAGACAAGUUAUUUAACCUCUCUGUGCCUCUGUUUUCCUACAUGUAAAAUGUGGAUAAAAACAGAUUCUAUCUGAUAGGAGUAAUUUGGAGAUUUAAUGAGUUAACACAUGUCACCUUUAGAAUAAUGCUUUGUAUAUUGUAAGUGCACAGAAAAUGUUAUUGUUGCAGACAUCUCUGGAUGUUGCCAUCAUCACCAUCAUCAUCAUCGCCACCACCACCAUCAUCGUCAUCAUCCCAGUUUUGCCUUUUUCUUUUUAUCCUUAAAUCUAACUCAUCAUUAAAUCAUCUCUUUUCUACCCUGUAUUCUAAAUAUUUCUUAAAUCCAUAUUCUCAUCACUGUCCUUAUUACUGUUAUGUUACUUUAAGCUCUCAUUGUCUCUUUAAUACUUGGAAAGUAUGAUACUUGAAGAGGUUUAGCUCUUAGCCCCUAUGCCUUUUCCAGACAUUUCAAGCUUCCUAUCCAAUAGAUUUUUCCAUGGAGCAAAGAAAUCAAAGGAGAUAAUGUUGGAAAGGUAAUCAGUGACUAGAUUAUAAACAGUCUGCAUGCCAGGAUAAGAAGUUUUGACUUAAUUCUGUAGCUGAUGGAGAGUCAUUAAAUAUUUUAAGCAGAGAAAUGACUGAUCGGGUUUGCAUUUUAUAAACAUGAGGUGGAAAUUCUAGAGAUGGAAUAUAUAGGUCUCUCUGGAAGAUUGAUUGGGGAGGAGGGGAUAGGGUAAGGGAGGAAUCAAGAUGAUCCAGUCCCCUCCAAUCAAGACCCCCCCUAGUAUUGACUGGAGAUACUUGGUGGAUGGGUUAUUAUCUUCUGACAUGGCUAGAGCAUGGAGUUUGGGAAGAAAGAGGCUAGAAAUGAAGCUAGAGAGAAAGAAUGACUUCAAUCACAAAGCAUUUGGGGCUUUUUCCUCUGAAUCCAGAAGGACUUCUGAGUCCAAAACUAAGGGUGCAGAGGUAGAUGCUUUUUUUUUAUUUGGGAGAAUGAGAACAAUGAUUCUUUCCCAUUGGCCUCUCUUUUCUGUACAUCCUAUUAUGAUACUUUUCCUUCCCUAGUCUUUGCCUCCCUUUCCUUUUCAGGCUACUUAAAAUUUAACCAUCAUUAAAAAACUGGUGAAAACUCUACUUCCUGUAAACAUCUAUUGUAUCUGACUACUCUACCCCACACUAAUAUCUGUUCUGAUUGCCCAUCAUACUGAAUGUUUAGAUGUUUUGUCUACUACAUUAAAUUACUGCCUUUAAGAGUAAAACCAAUAAUUGAGUCCUCAAAAGGCACAUAGCAGGAACCCUAAACUCCUUUAUGGAUUCAGAGAGCAUUAGAGGGAAACAUUGAGAUCAACUUAUCUUGUCUAGUGGUGUCCACCUGGAAUCUAACAUUCCAAGCUAUUGUCAUUGUGUCCAUAUGCCAUAUUUCUUGUUUUAAGAUCCUAAUAGCUAUUGUACAAUUUCUUAUAUCAAGUCUAUCUAAGAUCCUAAUAGCUAUUGCACAAUUUCUUAUAUCAAGUCUAUCUAAUCUGCUUUGAUAACUCUAUCAAUCCAGUUUUGUAAUUCUGGUGAUCACAUAAGAAAUGAAUCAAUGAUUUAACAAACUGCAAAUCAGUAGAAAAAUCUUUCAAAAGAUGGAGGGCAUGAAGAGAGGACAAAACAUUCCUUGGUGGUAGAAAUUAGCAACCACUGCUCUUGGCCAACAGUCAUGCUAAUGAAGGCCCUAGUUGAGAAGCUAGCCAGGGUCAUAACCGACUAAAUAGCUCACCUAGGACUAGGAUGCAGGUCUCGAUGCAUCCUGGUGCUUGGAAUUCAGUACUGCUCCACUGAAGGGUCCUUAUCAGUACUAGGAAUUACUACUGACAUGUGCAGGAUGGGAGAGAAGGAGCUACCAUUUGUUGAGAGUUUAAUAUUUAUUAGUCACUCUAUUGGGUGUUUUGUUAUGCAUUAUUGCAUUUCUUCUCCACAAAAAAACCUUUUAAUUUCAUUUUGUUGUAAUAAAAAGAUUUUUUUAGGUAAUGAAAUUGAGACCAAAUUAGGUUAAGAAAUGCUCCCCAGGUCCACCAAGUUGAAAGUGGCAGAAUCUUUCCAAAUUCAGGAACUCUCUGGCUCUUAGGUGUAGGUGUAUUCACCUGAUUUUUGAGAAAAGUGUUACAGGAAGCUUGAAAGGUUCUGGGAAAGAUAAAGGCCCAGGGCUAAAGAAAGCACUGAGGAAAAUGAGAGAAAGUCUCAAGUAAACUAGAAAAUUCUUUAAAGCUUGUUCUUUUCAGAAUCAUUAUCUGGACUGAGCCUCAUUCUUUGCCCAGUACUGUACCUCAGCUCUCUUUCUGUUGCCACAGCCCAACCCCUCCCUCCUUCUUCCCAAAUCACGGUGACCUCCAUGCACUAUGGGGCAGCUAUGGAGAUGGGCAGUUUGGCUAUGAAAGCACUGCUAACUCUGUCUCUAGCCUCCUCCUCUCCCCUGACAUCUCUAUUACUUGUAAAGUCAGAUAUCAUGUUGAACUUCAAAUUUAGAACGUGUGUUCAUUGUAAAUUAGCUCCUCUUCCACUAUUUCCCAUUUCUAUGAUGGCAUUAUGAUUUUUUUCAUCAGCUGGGCUCAACACUUAGAAGUGCCUCUUGUCUUGUUCCCAUACAGGUCUAAGAUGUACUUCCCUGAUGUCUUUCACAGCCUUCUCUAUGAUCCAAGGUCACUACCACUGCUCUGUCAUGGCCUUCAUGACCUCUUGCUUGGAUUAUAGCAAUAGCCUCUUGUUUCCCAUCCCAUCUCACUCAAUCACUUUCUCUUUCCAUCCAUCCCAUAUAUCUCUAACAGAUUAAGUUUUCUAAAGCUCUGUUCUGAUCAUGUCCCAUUACUCCUUAAAAGCCAGUAAUAUUUUCCUGUUGCUGCCCAAAUAAAUACAAAUGCUCAGACUCCCAUGCAAGCUUCACCCAAUUUCAUUUCUCAUCCCUGAUCUCCCAUGUAAUAUCUCCUACAGAUAAAAACAGUAAAGCACUUUCAUAUACUGUUUCCCUCUGGCCUUUCUAUCUCUGUGCAUUUGCUGAUACUGAUAUGCCUUAUGCUCAUCUCUCCAUCCUUGCUGUCAUUUGGAAUCCUAUGCAGCAACCUUGGAUCUUCCAUAAAGUAACUUUCUAAUGACCCCCAGCUUAAACGUUCUCUUGUUUUUAGCCUUUUUGUUUGUAUUUUUAGCCUUUUAGCAUCUCUCUCUCUCUGACAUUUAUCAAGACAAUUAUAGUUUGGUUAUUUCUUUUCUUAUGUAGUGGGCAUAAAUGUACAACUAAAAUUCAGAACGGCAAGGGUCGCCUGGGUGGCUCAGUUGGUUAAGCGUCUGACUUCAGCUCAGGUCAUGAUCUCAGGGUUCGUGGGUUUAAACACCGCAUCAGGCUCUGUGCUGACUUCUCAGAGCCUGGAGCCUGCUUCAGAUUCUGUCUCCCUCUCUCUCUGCCCCUCUCCUGCUCAUGCUCUGUCUCUUUCUCUCUCAAAAAUAAACAUUUAAAAAAAUUAAAAAUAAAAUAAAAUAAAAUAAAAUUCAGAAUGUCAAUAAAUGUCAGUUCGAACACCAUAUAUAUCUGACUCUGAGUCCCAAUGCCUCCAGAUGAGUGGGAAAAAAUCAAUCUUCUCCAGGAAUGAGUGAGAAUCUAAGAAGCCAUGGUAUCCACAGGUAAUGAAGGUUAAGAGCCUUUAGCUUCUAGCCCAUCAUUUGGUUCUGUGAUCUGAGCCUUCGCAAUUCCUUGAAGGAAGCCAAUUGUCUGGGACGUACCUUCUUUCCAUGGCCCACUCUUCCCUGCUAAGGUCUGUCCUCCUGUUUAUGGUGCUGGUAGAAGGAGGGACAGGCUCCUGCCUCCCAUGGAUCCAGCUGAAUUCUAUUCCCCUUCUAUAGGAGUGGGGGUGGGGAAUCCUUCUGCUCUCUUGGCCUUCAAAGAUAAUCCUCAUCCUCUGCCUCUCCUUACUGGUUAUCCAAUAUUUUCACAAAAAUCAUAAAGCCUUUCACAAAAGAUUGAAGAAAAGAUUGUCUUCCUGUAUUUCUGUAACAUAAACCUCCCUGAGGCAAAGGAGCCAGUGAGCCCAGCGACCUUCUCAGCCUGGCAGAGGCAGAGAACAAAACACGAGUUCUUCCAUCCGGAAUCCUGCCACACUUGUCUACAUUACCUGAUGACAGCAAUAGCCUUCUCAGGUUUCUAUCCUUUGCAGCCUGUGCACAUUGCAAAAAUAUCUGGCUUCACAAAUGGGCAGGAUUCAGGAGGAUUCAAUCAUCAGGAAAUGUCCAGUUUUGGUUUGGUUUUGUUUUUCCUCUACCACAACCAUCACAAUUCCUGUUGGUUCUCCUUUCUCUGCCCUUGGACAAAAUCUCUGACAGAUCUCUUGGCUUUACCUCCUGUCACUUCCAAGUAUUAAAAUGCUUCUAUUGGGGCGCCUGGGUGGCGCAGUCGGUUAAGCGUCCGACUUCAGCCAGGUCACGAUCUCGCGGUCUGUGAGUUCGAGCCCCGCGUCGGGCUCUGGGCUGAUGGCUCAGAGCCUGGAGCCUGUUUCCGAUUCUGUGUCUCCCUCUCUCUCUGCCCCUCGCCCGUUCAUGCUCUGUCUCUCUCUGUCCCAAAAAUAAAUAAACGUUGGAAAAAAAAAAUGCUUCUAUUUCCAGUAAUUUGGAAAUCUGGACCGAUCCAAUGGUAGACUUUUGCUGUCUCCUGUAGUUCACAGCACCUUCCCUUUCCAUUGCUCAUGCCUAACCUGCACUCAGAAUCCCGGACUCAGGAGAGGGCCUGUGUCUGUGCUGACUCCACAACCUCUCCUGUAUCCCGGGUGCUACUAACUCUUCAACAUUCAGAGCAACGAGUGGAGGGGAAGACGGAUGGCAAGAAAUGGGGCAAGAUGCGAUUAUUUAGCCAGUGCUAUUUGAACAUCUCUCUUGGCUACUGAAUGCCUUCUCUCUUAUGGAAAAAGCCUAAAUGCUGGCUUGCUUUUCUUGUGAGGAAUGUCUGUGGAUUCUUUGGAGGACACUCUUCAUGCCCACUUCCAGACUUCCACAGUGCUGUAUUAUGUGUGUCAUGCACUCUUUGGAUAAGUCCCAUGCAGCUCUUUCUCUUGUGCCCACCUUCUUUCCCUGGUGUCCACUUGGCCUGCCCAGAACUCUUUGUGCGGGCUUGUCUCUCUUGUCCCCUGCUCCCAUUGAAACCACGCAAGAUCAGGCCACUCGCCUUGUCCUGCCACCAGGGGCCAUCUGUGGCAACCUCUGUCUUCAUCAGGUACACACCUAAACUCUCAUGGUUACAUGUAGAUUUCCUGCUCUUGUGGCAGAACUGGUGCAUCCCAGUGAGCAUUUAAUUGAGGACUAGGUGAGCUGUCUCUUUCCCUUGGCAGAUUUGAGAGGUUCUCUUGAUGUUUCCUUCACUUGGCUUAGGAUGGAGGAACAUUCCAGAACCUGCUCUCCUAACCAACAACUCUCUUUAUACUUUUAAAAGAAUUUUUUAAGUUUAUUUAUUUAUUUGAGAGAGAGAGAGAGCGAGCGCGCACAAGCUGGGGAGGGGCAGAGAGAGAGAGAGAGAGGGAAACACAGAAUCUGAAGCAGGCUUUGGGCUCGAGGUUGUCAAUGCGGAUCCAAAGCAGGGCUCGAACUCAUGAAUCGUGAAAUCAUGACCCGAGCAGAAGUCAGAUGCUCAACCAACUGAGUCACCCAGGUGCCCCUUGGCAACUCUCUUUAUAGAAAGCCUUUUUCUGCCACUAAAUCCCUAGCUUUCUCUUAGACAAGCUGGAGGUGGUGACAGGCUAAGGGCCAUAUGAUCACAUCUGGCCACUUUUAACAAGUCCUGAGUAGAAGUGCCCUACAUCUCUUUUUAGAACUUGUUGUACUCCUUAGCUAUUUUUCUCAGCUUUGGAUUUCAGCUGAAAUUCUGAGACAACAGAAAUACCUGUUGUAUUAAAUAACCUUCAAAUCCAUUCAUUUUUUUGGGUACAUGAACACAAUAUAGUAAUUAAAGAAAAUGACUAUGGAAAAAAAAAAAAGUGGACUUCAUCCUUGUAAACAUAUUCUGAGCACCAGUUGGAUUAGGCAGGUUGUCUGUCUCCUAGCCCCUUAAGUGUUGGAAAGAGGCCUAUUGAAUAACCUUUCUUUAUCACCUAUGGUAGGUCUUUCCUUGAUCAUUUUAAUUUAUUACAUGGCAAAUGUUGAUAUAAGUAAUUACAUUUCAACUGCAUGGGGGAAGUAUUUUUAAAAAUAUUUGUAAAACUUUACUUUUAAAAGCUGAGGUGCAUUUGGAAAACUUAAGCUUCUCCUUAUACUCAAGUGCUGAUUCUUUUCUGAACCCAGAAAAAGGACUAUUGCAUUCACCUAUUUCCUACCCUAACAUGGAAAAAAACAGUUACACAGUGUUCUAGAAGAACUGUUUGCAUGAGAAAAAAUAGCUUUUAGAUUCAGGGAGAACCUUCCUUACCAUCCAAGUGGCUUAUGAAAUUGAGAAGCCCAUCCAAUGGCAGAGUCAGAACCUCAGAUUGCGGGCAUUGGCAAAUGGUUGUGGGUGGAGCCCACAGGCAGGCUCUGCAAGGGCCUGGAAUUUAACCUUGUGAUCUGGAGGAAGUGCUUGUGUUUGCAUGUGUAACAUGUUUUUCUUUCAAUCAUUAAAAAUCAUUAAUCCUGAGUUUAUCUGUGUUUCCCAGAGUGUGGACUAUGGACCACCUGUAUCAGAAUCAACUAGAGAGCACGUGUAAAUGCAGAUACCUGAUCAGGACCAUGGGGUCCACCAGCCUCUCAAGUUUAGAAUCCCUGUAGGUUUCACUCUCCUUGUUGGCACAGGCACCUCGGAGAGGCUUCAGGCCGAGGGCUGUCUGUCUUCUUGUAAAAAAAACCACCAAAACCCCCGUUUCAACUUCCUGUCUUUCCUGGUGCCUUGUUUUCCUGAAAUAGUAUCAUGUCGUCCUCUACUAGUCUGUGAUUCUUUGUCUUUUUUUCCUCCAUUUCCUGUCUUCUACUCUUCCCACUCCCAAUUCAUUGAGAUCAUAGUUUAAUUGAGUCAACCAUGUUGAGUUAUUGAGUUUAUCGAGUCCUUAUGUUUCCAUUUUUAGGGAAAUCAUAUAGUUUAGGGAAAUCAUAUAGUUCCCAUGUCUCUGUCUGAAUCAGUUGCACUCUGGCCAGGAUUGAUCUAAGAUGUACUCCAUGACUGGGAUUUUUUUUUCUACAACAUUCCAGAAUACUUUUGACAUAUACUUGACAUUUACUUCUCAAGUUCUACAACUUGAUUUCAUGCACAACUGUGAAAACUUGCCUGGCCUAAUUCAAACUUUAGAAACCUUAAAGUCAAAGGCCCCGCCCACACAUCCAAAUCCAAGCCCCAGAGUCACAAAUCUGUGACUGUUUUAAUUUCUCAAUUAUUUAAUUUCUCAAAAAUUCCACUGUUUUCGUUUCUCAACAUUCCCAGCCAAGGACCAAACGCUGGAAUCUUUGAGGGGUCAGGUCUCUUCUCGUCUGAGUUCUUAGCCAAUUGAGAAGCAAAACAAAGGAAGGCAGAUGGAGGCCAAAAUAUCAUCAUCAUUAACAAUAAUAAUACGAAGGGGUGCCUGGUGGAUUAGUCGAUUGAGCUUCUGACUCUUGAUUUUGGCUCAGGUCGUGAUCUCAGUUUGUGAGGUGGAGCCCCACAUCAGGCUCUGUGCUGGUGGCAUGGAGCCUGCUUGGGAUUCUUUCUCUCCCUCUCUCUCUGCUCCUCCCCCACUCACACAUGCACAAAUACACAUUCUCUCUCUCUCUCAAAAUAAAUACAAUUUAAAAUAAUAAUAACAACAACAAUGAUAGUAAAGAGGUUCCCGGGUGGCUCAGUCAGUUAAGCGUCCAACUUUGGCUCAGGUUAUGACCUCAUGGUUCAUGGGUUCAUGCCCCUCACCAGGCUCUGUGCUGACAGCUCAGAGCCUGGAGCCUGCUUGGGAUUCUGUGUCUCCCUCUCUCUCUGCCCCUCCCCUGCUCACAUUCUAUCUCUGUCUCCUAAAAAAUGAAUAAAACACUUUUAAAAUGUUUAGAUAAUAAUAAAAAUAAUGGUAAUAAUAAAUUCUGAAGCUGAAAUAAGGAUCAUAAUUGAAUUAGGCAAAGGGCCAAGGCCUAAGAAGGCAGAGCGCCAACUUCUUCUCAAGAGCAAAAUGUGUGGAGCUGGGUGGAGCAUGCCCAGUUUAUUUUUGCCAAGUGUACCAAUUAGAUUAAUCACUGCCCAGCACCCCUGCCUUCUCCCCCAUACCCAUGGCUGACUGUAGGGCCAUAGGGAGAGAGGCUGGGAGUGUAACUAACAGGACACCAUUAAUUUGAAAGGAAAUAUAAAAUGCAAGAGUUGUUUCUUCUGCCGUUAUUUUAUGAACCAAAAUCUAUAUCAGUGUUCCCAAAGUCAAAAUCCUGAAAUAAAACAUUUUCUUGUAAGUUUUUGGAAAACUCACAUGGUAGCAAAAUCAGACCUGAAAUGAUAUGGGGUUACCUAUGGUCCUUAUGCCAUUUGGUUGAAUAUUCAUAUGCUACUAAAAUAUAAAUGUGUUUAAUUAUGGGUUGUUUCCCCAGACCCAUUUGGAGGUGUUAUUUAAAAUAAGGUAUAUAGGGGCGCUUGGGUGGCUCAGUCGGUUAAGUGUCCGACUUCAGCUCAGGUCAUGAUCUCAUGGCUUGUGAGUUCGAGCCCCGCGUCAGACUCUGUGCUGACAGCUCAGAGCCUGGAGCCUGCUUCGGAUUCUGUGUCUCCCUCUCUCUCUCUGCCCCUCCCCUGCUCAUGCUCUGUCUCUCUCUGUCUCAAAAAUAAAUGAAACAUUUAAAAAACAAAACAAAACAGUAUAUAUACCAUGUUACCUUUCUAAAGUCCAGCAAAGUCUGAGGUAUGAAACGUAUUAGAUCUCAAAAGUUUUAGGCGGGGGAAGUGUGUUCAGUGUGGGAGACAAUGAUUGGCUGAAGAUAAAUUACUAAGAAAUCUCGGGAAUGUGAGGGAAGCAAGUGUAGGGGAGGAAAAAUAUCUUUUUCCCCCAUUCUUCUAAGUUCUUGGUUGGGGCCCCUGUAACAAAAGACGGGUUAACAAGAGAAAAUCAUAUAAACUUAUGUAACAUAAGUUUUACAUGACAUGGGGGACUUCAUAAGGAAAUGAAGACCCGAAGAACCUGGGUGUGUUUUUAUGAUAAGUCUGAUGAAGAGUGAAAAGUCGUGGGAAAAUGUGACAGAAUGAAAAGGGGUGUGAACUCAGUGGUAAACAUGGGGAAGCAGCAAAGCCUGUGGGUUCAGAUUCCUCUUUGUGUCUUUGAGAUAAGGACAUUCCUUUCCUCCAGCUGUAAGAAGGAUACUUCUUGCCUGAGGGUUUUGUAUUCUGCUUCAGGGGAAGGGCAGACAAUCUUUUCUGCUCAUGUCACUUUUUAAAUUCCUUCAGCUUAAAAUAUUCAAUACAUCAAGGUGCCACUGUUUGGGAAAGCAUAUCCUGAACACUGUCACAAGGGAACAGGGACACUGUCACAAGCGGGGAGGAAAUUUGUCUAGGCUCUUUGUUUGGGCUAUGAAAAGCAAGGUGAAAGUUUAUAGUAAUUAGAAUUUGAUAUGGGAUUAUAUAUCAUAUGUUUAUUUUUGGACAAUUGUAUUAAAAAGGUCACCUAAAUAAGAGACCAUUGUUCCAUCAGGAAACAUAGAUGCCAAUACAAGAUCACUGCUGACAGCAGCACGUGGGAGUCAUGGCCAUGGGGAUGUUGACAAUCACAUGGAGUGAGUUGGAGGCCAAGGAAGAUCAUCCCACUUUUCUAUAGAAGGGUCCAGAUUGGGGUGUGCACAUUAUAAGGCUAUGCAAAGAAGGAUUUGAAUUCUCUUUUUGCUGGCUUAACAUUUCCUGAUUCAAUGCUGAUAACAUAGUGCAUCAGCUAGGUAGCCUCACAUAAGUAGCCAAAACCAUCUGGGCACAAUCAGGGUAUUCCUGAUCUUGCCCUCUUGGAACACAGACAAUAUUCAGUCAGUUUUCUAAUGGCUAACCCUGCUUAAGUGUGCAAAUGCAUCUGAAAUUAUUCCAUCAGCAGUGGAAAAGCCUACGUAACAAUCCUCAGAGAGAAUUUUCUUCUGGAAGGAAUCUCAGAUAGCACGACAGUUUCGGAUAUCAGAGGCAUGUGUCUGCCAAAGAUUGCCAUAGAGUUGCAGAAUUUUUGAGUUAGUAGAUAGGAGUCCUUUGUUUUCACCUCUCAAUCAGUGAAGAAUUUUUCUAGAUAAUUUUAUUUUCUAUUAUUUUUGAAAUAAUUUCUAUUAUUCUCUAAACAGUAAGGAGGUCACAAUACCUCAUCUUUAUGGAGCACUAAUUCUAUGCACAGUGCUAAGUGCCUUGCAAGGAAUAUCUCAUUUAAAUUUUUUUUUUUUAUGUUUAUUUAUUUUUGACAGAGAGAGAGACAGAGCAUGAGCAGGGGAGGGGCAGAGAGAGAGGGAGACACAGUAUCCGAAGCAGGCUCCAGACUCUGAGCUGUCAACACAGAGCCCGACGCAGGGCUCGAACUCACAGACUGCGAGACCAUGACCUGAGCCGAAGUCAGACGCUCAACCGACUGAGCCACCCAGGUGCCCCUAGGAUUAUCUCAUUUAAUAAUGGUAAUAGCUAUUGUUUCCUGAGUACCUUGUCUAUGCUGGACACUUACUUUAUAUUCUGAUUUAAUCCUCAUAUCAUGUCAGCAAGCUAGAUGGUAUUUUCACUCCUCAUUUCAGUGAGAAGGGAAACUGAGGCCAGUAAGUUAUGCCAUUUAUGUUCGAACCAAUGUAGUGAGUAAAUGGGAGAGCCAGGGCUGACAUUGGCAUAUUUAAUCACAAGUGUGGCCAAGGCACCAGCCAAUCAGACAUUGGCUCCUGGAGGUCCACCACUGUGCCAGGCAUUAACUCUUCAGUAACUGGACCUUGGGGAGGCGUAGUUGGGGGAUGAUUCCUGAGACCAGUUUGAGUAAAACAGAUUGCUUCUCUAAUGUGAAAUCGGUUGAGAGCUUUAAUAGAACACAAAGGUUUACCCUACCUGUUGGUAAGAGGAAAGUCUUCCUGCCUGAUGGCCUUUGAACUGAGAUUACGGCUUUUUCCUGCCUUCAGAGUAGAACUGAAAUAUUAGCUCUCCCUGGAUCUCAACCCUACUGGCCUUUGGAUUGUAACUACACCAGUGGUUUGUCUGGGUCUCUAGCUUGCUGAUUCACCCUGUAGAUUGUGGACUUGUCAGCCGCCAUAAUCAUGUAAGCCAAUUCCCUAUGACAAAUAUAUAUACACAUACAUCCUCUUGCUUCUGUUCUUUUGGAGAACGCUGACUAAUAUAGAGGCUAGAGGAGGGGCACCUGGGUGGCUCAGCCGGUUAAGCAUCCGACUUCAGCUCCGUUCAUGAUCUCACUGUUGGUGGGUUCAAGCCCUGCGUUAGGCUCUGUGCUGACAGCUGAGAGCCUGGAGCACACUUUGGAUUCUGUGUCUCCCUCUCUAUCUGCCCCUCCCUCACUUGCACUCUGUCUCUCUCUCUCUCAAAAAUAAAUAAACAUUAAAACAAAAUUUUUGUUUUUUAAAAAAGGAGGAGGAAAGAGAACUGCCAUGUAAUCCCACAUGGGUCCUGAAAAGUAGUCAUUAUCCUUUUCAUUAACAGUCAGAGAAUGGAUGCCCUGAGAAGACUGGCAAAUUGAGGCACAGUAAGAGGCAGGGCUUGAAUUCAGGCCCAGGUCAAUUUAGUCAGUUUGUCUAGAUCCCCUUUUCUCCGACCACCACCCUAGAGGUGGUCACUGUAUCAUGUUCAGAUGCAAAAACUCAAGACCAAAAAGCUGCAGAGCUAACAUCUUGCCCUGAAACUGGUGUCUUCCUGGCUAUCAUUUGCCUUCUGUCAAAAUAGAAUUUCCCACCACCACCUUCACCCCAACUGAACAGAAUUAUUUCUAUUUCCUGGCUUCCACUGCUUGAAUAUGUAUAUAUAUAUAUAUAUAUAUAUAUAUAUAUUCNGACAGUGCCCUAGGAAGAUGGACAUAUAGAUGCACAAAUACAAAUCAAAUUCAAUUGCUAGAAAGUAUAUAUAUAUAUAUAUAUAUAUAUAUAUAUACUUUCUAGCAAUUGAAUUUGAUUUGUAUUUGUGCAUCUAUAUGUCCAUCUUCCUAGGGCACUGUCGCUUAAAGGAGAGGACCAGAUCUUUCUGUCCUUGUAUUCCUCAGAGCCCAGAAUAAUCUCUGUGUAUAGGAGGUGCUCAGUAACUGAAGAGAAUGAACUAAUGGAUGAAUGAACAAUUUGAAGUCUCUGCUUCUGUAGCACUGAUUCAGGCUACCUGGAGUAACUCCUCUCUCGGUCCCACCUUCUCCCCACCCUCCAGACUUCCAGACACCACGCAGACUCUCAUUGACAGGACAGACAGACAUGCUCCAAAACAAAACCAGCAAGAAACACACAUCACAGAAGACUUGAGAACAUGUUCCUCUGAAAUGUAAAUGGGUCUAAUUUGAGUACUCUGUGUUUCAAACCUUCCUUUGACCUGUUCCUUUAGACCAGGUGAGAGAGAGAGAAAGAGAGAGAGAGAGAGAGAGAGAGAGAGAGAGAGAGAUGGACAAACAAAAAGAAGAGGGAGACAGAAAGAAAGAGAAACAGAGGAAAGGUGGAAAGAAGGAAGAAGACAUUAAUUCUGCAUACACUUCCAUAUUUUUACAGGCAGCAGGAAGUAUUAAAAACUGCUUCCAAAACAGGAGGUCAUGUUUCCUAGUGCAUCAGAGGGGAGAGGAAUGUUGAUUUAAAAAUCAGAUAUUAGUGGAGCCCAGAGAGCAGGAGGACCUUUUCGUUUAUUCUAAAUGUCUCGGGAGAUUGAUAGCAUGGAGAAAUGAUGCUGGCAACAGGUUCCAUCCAAUUCCUUGUUCAUAUCUGCUAGAGGGAUGAUUCUUAAUUUUUUUUGAGUCUGAAUGUCUGAGAUCCUCUGAAGGAUCUAAUGAAAUAAACAGACUAUCUUUCUAGAAAAUACAUGUUUGUGUACAUAAAACAUAUGCAUGAAAUACAUGUGAAACAUAAUUUUGAAUUCAAAGACCCCUAGAAUUAAGAUUCAAACAUUCACAUGGGUGCAAUCUAUAUAUACACCUAUGUAUAGAACAUACCUCUCCUCGCUGUUUCCCUGCUCUUCCCAGCCCUGGAACAGCCUCAAGCCUAUGUGACAUCAAAACUGAAGGAAUGUCAGGAGGUCUGUUCCUCCUAACCCAGGAUGAAAUACUGAACACAGUUUUCUGUGGAAAUAUGCUUCUGUCUGUUGAUCACAUUCUGGGUUAUCAUUAGGUCCACAUUUCUGGUACCUUAUGGGUGAACAGGCUGUGAGCUCACCUGGGGACAGAACCACUCACCUUGUUUCUUUGGGAGAAUAUGUUUCAUCUGCUUCAACCAAAUAAUUCCUUAAUGAAGAUUUGGAAUGUAGUAGGUUGGGUAUUUAGUAAGUUGUGGACAGCCUGUGCUCCUUUUGUAAAAGAGGAGAAAAUAUCCUCUUGAACAAUCAUGGAAUUGGGGUGCAAGGCCAAAGACUGAAAAAGAUGCAUGUUAUGGGGAAACACAAUUUUCUAUUAAAAAAUUGACAUUUAUGCCACACAACACUAGGACUCCGUAUCUUUAAGCCCCUUGUGCCCUCUGUGACCUGAGGCAUCACCUCUGUAGCGUUGGUAAAUGUAGGGAAGGCUGUACUUCUUCCAGCUGGUAAAAAUUUUUUACAUAGGGGCAUCUGGGUGGCUCAGUAAGUUAAGCAUCUGACUCUUGAUUUCAGGUCAGGUCAUGAUCUUACAGUUUGUGGGAUCGAGUCCUGUGUCAGGUUCUGUCCUAGCAGCGUGGAACCUGCUUAGGAUUCUCUCUCUCCCAAUCUCUCUGCCUUGCCCCCCACUUUCACUCUCUCUCUAAAUAAAUAAAUAAAUAAACAUUCAAAAAAAUAAUUUUUUUACAUUAACAUAGAUUUUAAAAAAUCUUUCUGCAAGGCUGAAUAACCAGCCAUUUUAAUGAUCUGAAACUACCUCAGAUUUCCGUACUUUGAAUUCGAUUUUGAAGCAUAGUCUCCUAUAGAAAGCACAAGAAAAAAUGAAUAAUUCAUGAAUGAUGUGGUACCUUCAUGAUUUAUUUACAGCCCAGAACUCAUGGUAACUCAGAGAACAUCAAACAUCCUACACCCUGGCCUGCCAUUUAAAGAAGCAUGGGGGGGGGGGGGGGGGGGGAGCAGAAAGGACAAGCAGAACACGUGAGAUGUGCUGUUAACCUUAUAUAAGGGCAAUGAAUAAGGAACCUAAAUAUUUGCUGAGAAAUAAAUCGAACGAUGAUCAAAAGAAAAGUCAAAGUGUCAAGAGAUUGCCUAUUGAGGCCAUGAGAGAAAUUGUAUAUGCUGCUACUCAUUAUGGCCUUCUCUCCAUGUUGUUUUGUAAUUAAUUCUUCAUGCUACCCCAGGAUUUUGUUUAGUCUUUCUGAAUAUUCCUAUUUCCUCAUAAAAUUUUCACUAUGAAAAACCACCUAAAAUUCUCAUAAUCAGGAGAGGGAUAUACUCUUGUCAGUUUUCCAACAUAUUUACACGUCUGUUGUUUUGCAAACGUCUUGUUAAAUCCCACAGGGCUCCUCUCUAGUCAUUGUCAUCACCCUUCGCCCACAGUGCCUCAGCUGGGAGGCUAUGUCAGGCAGGACUUCUUACUGGGUGGUGUAGUGCCAGAACCUGGAGUCACCCCAUCAGCGAUCGCAUAGUUGGGGGGUGGGUGGGUGAGAGUAUGGAUGACACAAUAUCUUUCUUUUUUAACAUUGUAUUUUUUUCUCCACGAAAAAAGUGAUAGUAUCCAUUAAACUGGGAAAAAUGCUUAAGAAAAUAAAAAUCUUUUUUAAAAUCCUUCAUGAGUUUUUAUAAAAUGCAACUCCCAAGUGCACUAGGGACCUUGAGGCUAAAGUACGCCCUCUACCUGGACUUCAGGCUCUGGGGACGGUGUGUUCAUUGAGCCAGGGCAGGGAUUUGGGGGGGGUGGGGAGGCCUAGCCACCCAGCCUGGGCUGACCCUACCAUCUCAGGUGAGGUGAAUCCCAAUGAUGAACAAGCUUUUGGUGAAAAUAGGUUGUUUCUGACGGAGAGGAUGUGGAGAAACGGGAGCCUUCUUGCACUGUUGGUGGGAACGCAAACUGGUGCAGCUGCUCUGGAAAACAGUGUGGAGGUUCCUCAAAAAAUUAAAAAUAGACCUACCCUAUGACCCAGCAAUAGCACUGCUAGGAAUUUACCCAAGGGAUACAGGAGUACUGAUGCAUAGGGGCACUUGUACCCCAAUGUUUAUAGCAGCACUUUCAACAAUAGCCAAAUUAUGGAAAGAGCCUAAAUGUCCACCAACUGAUGAAUGAAUAAAGAUGUGAUUUAUAUAUACAAUGGAAUACUACUUGGCAAUGAGAAAAAAUGAAAUCAUGCCAUUUGCAGCAACGUGGAUGGAACUGGAGGGUAUUAUGCUAAGAGAAAUAAGUCAGUCAGAGAAAGACAGAUACCAUAUGUUUUCACUCAUACGUGGAUCUUGAGAAACUUAACAGAAGACCAGGGGGGAGGGGAAAGGGGAAAAAAUUAUAGAGAGGGAGGGAGGCAAACCAUAAGAGACUCUUAAAUACAGAGAACAAACUGAGGGUUGAUGGNNNNNNNNNNNNNNNNNNNNNNNGGGGGGUGGGAGGGAGGGGAAAGUGGGUGAUGGGCAUUGUGGAGGGCACCUGUUGGGAUGAGCACUGGGUGUUGUAUGGAAACCAAUAUGACAAUAAAUUAUAUUCAAUAUAAAAAAAAGAAAAGAAAAUAGGUGGUUCCUUGAGAGUUCAUUUCCCCAGGGUUUCGGCAUGAAGCCACCUCAGCUACAAACACAGUUUCACUGGUGUCUUUGUCUUGAUUAAAGAUGAAAACCCAACUUAAACACAUUCCCAACCUGCUUGAGGGAUUCUCCCCAUAUAAUGCCUUCUUUUACCUUUUGUGCAGAUGGAAUAGAUGGAAAUAAUCACUUUCCUUGGGAGACACUUUGGCAAGUGGUCCUUAGCAUGGAAUUGCCUCUCUCCCUCUCUUCAAACAUAACUCAUUCUUGUGGGAUUUUUUUCUUAGCUCAGGCUGCUAUUAAAUUACCAUAGAGUGGCUUAUGAACAACAGACAUUUGUUUCUCACAGUUCUGGAGGCUGGGAGGUCCCAGACGAAGAUGUGGAUGGACUCUGUGUCUGGUGAGGUCCCUCUUUUUUUGCUUGCAGAUGGUUGUCUCCUUGCUGUGUCUUCACAUGACAGAGAGAAAGAUCAUCCCUUUCACGUCUCUACUUGUAUGAGCACUAAUCCCACUCACGAGGGCUCCACCCUUAUGACCUCAUUACCUCACAAAUGUCUCACCUUCAAAUGCUGUCAUGCUGAGGAUUAGGGCUUCCACAUAUGAAUUUGUGGGGAGACGCAAGCAUUCAGUCCGUAGCAGAGUUUAUUCCUGAGUUACAAAAACUCAAGACAGAACAAAACAAACCCAGAGCUCUGAACAGAUAAGAGACUCUCAGUGGGCUAAGGCCAUGGGGGACAUGGAGAUCCAUGAGGUGACGUGUAUUUGACUACCUUUCCUGUUCCCUCUCACACCUGCUGCAUCACUGUCUGUGGUUGCCCUGGAGACCCAAUCAUUUGAAGGCUUUGUGGGAGGCAUGUUAAACCAUAUAGGCAGUCAGAGCAGCAUUUAGGGUCACAUGUGACGCAGGACUCCUUUUUCAUGUCAAAUUUUGUUUUACACACCUGUUGUUAGGGCAUGAUAUCUACACGGAGUGGGGAUGAUGUCUGCCACAGCAGGUACCAGGCUAAACACCUCUCAGGAGGAUCACAAAUGAAGACAAACUGGGUCCAUUAAGUUUUUUUUUUUCUUUUUUAAUAAAUGGUUCGCCUACUUCCCCUCCCUUGGGCUUUUUUUAAUUAGUCUGUCAUACUAUUAGCAUCUGUCUUACUUUCUCCUUUAGGACAAAGAAUAAAGUCAGUUGCUUUAGAAGGAAGUAUAAACAUCUUGCCAAACAAAGAGGAAAACUGAGCUUCUUGGAAUGUGCAUGGCCCAAUUAAAUGGGAAAAAGUGGAGCUGACCCCGAGUCAUGGAAACAGUAGUUAUAGAAUGGAUAAACUCUUCAACAGGGAAAUCUUAGACUCUGUCUGGUGUGGGCAUCAUCGCAUAAACGUCUCCCAUAAGCCACACACACACACCACUGAGCCAAAUCCAAAUGAGAUUACGAUGCUUGUAGGGAGCUUGAAUCUAUGUACACAACCUAUAAACAGACUGAAUACUGUGGGCCAACUGUGUUGUUAGAGAGUUCCUCUAAAACAGUGGAGGUAGGGUCUGAGAUUAUUCGCCACUGCAAGGGUAUAGGUGGGAUAUGGGGAAUGGAAGACUUUCCAAGAAAUCUGCUUUUACUAAGAGGGGUCCUCCUCUAGGCCUCUUUCUGGAACAAACCUCCUGCCAUGACCUGUGGUUGUUGCAGGGGCAACUCACCUAAAAUAGGAUUGAGCCUAGAGCAGAGCAGUCUGUGGAAGUAACACAGAGUGUGUGGCAGAGAGAAACAGCUAAACCAGGCUGUUUGUUUCAAAGUGCUGAAAUUCUCUGGGCUGCCUGAUGAGCAAAGUGCAGUAAACCUAAGGGAUUUGGCCUUGGCUGGAAUUGAUCAGACAUGUGUUGCACACAAUGGCAAAUAGGUUUUUACCGGCACUGUAAGCCUACCCAGUUCAUAAAUGCUCAGUGGAGUAUUGCGUUGAGGAGGAUCCUGAGGCUGUAUUGAGCCCAACAGGAAAGAGGGCUGUGAACAGUGUGGCAAUAUCUACAAUGGACCAGGGAUGGAAGAGUAAUGGCCAGGUGCCAUAUACCUACCAUCUCUGAACCGCACACUGAUAUUGAAAAUUUUGGGUCUAGAAAAAUAGGUUGGAAUUGAGUCAUGGGAAACUUUGAAUAUUAGACCAAAGAGUCUGGCCUUUAUUUUGAGAAAUGUUGUGGUUCAUUUGUUCAGAACAGUAGUGCUAAAAAUAGGGAAUGUAAAUGCCUUGAGCAAGAUUCAUUCUCUCCACUUGUCAGCAGGCCUACAUUGCUCCCUGUUGUCCUAAACAUUCAGUCACAUCUUACACUUAAAUCACCUGAAGGUAUUUGAGUUUGCAGCCCUGUUGCAGGAAUUGGAGAAUAGUUGAUGGAUCGUGAGUUGGAAAAUGACACGCUCAGAACAUACUUUAGGAAGAUUAUUCUUGCAGAGAUGUGAAAGAUGGAUUGGAGGGGGGGGAAAGGACAGAAGCUUCAAUACUAGUUAAAGAAGUCCCUGGAACCUUCCAUCUAAGAGUUAUACAUGCAUACCUAACCUAGAACUGUGGAAAUAAAAAGUGAUCUAAGAGAUGUUGUAGAAGUGAUAUCAAGGUGUAGGUCGGGUGUAGGAGAUGGAGAGAAGAGAGACUUCAAAAUGAUGUCAAAGUAUACACCUGGGACUGAUUGGAGACUGGUGAUACCAUUAACAGAAAUAGGGAAUUCAAGUAGAAGAAUAAAUUUAGACUGGAAUGUGGAGAAGAAGCAGAUGAGCAGGUGAAUUUUAGCACCCAGUUAUUUUUCUGAUGCUGUUACUGUUACAGAUGGUCUUUGUCACAGCACAACAUUUCCUUGAGAAAAGCUGUAGGUUGAACAUGGUAUCUUGUUUUAUCUUUCCUAAGACUAAUGGAGGGAAUCCGAUUUGGACAGCUGGCUGAGGUUAAAGGUUUAGUUUGUGGCCAUGGAAUGAAGCCAUAUUAACUGGGAUGAAAUCUGUGCCCUUGACCAGAAGAGCAAAGGACUAACUGGUAAUCACCUUCAGCCAUUUCUGUUACGGCAUCUAAUCAGGUAUUGGCUUCCUGUCCUCAACACUUUGCCAGCUGGACGGCCACCUUGCCUUAUUGCCUGGCACAAGUAUGGAUGGAUGUCCCACUGUUGCACUUGUUUGAUGCUUCAUCCCUCUUGAUCCAGUGUGAGAUUGAUUGGAUGAGCAUGAUGGGGAGUGGAGAAGUAUGCUAGGUCGAUAAGUGUGGGUGCAUACGGUCUUGCUAGAUGCUUAGUUUUUCACCCUGCCUGUCCAUCCAGUCUCUGAGAUCUGCUUCAUGAUGCCAGAUGGUGGGUUUGCUAAUGGUACUUGCUACACAUCUCCCACCUAGCAUCUUCUCACUGAUGCUUGAUGCCAAGACCUAUUCUCACCUGGCUCUGAGUCCUGGUUCAGUUAUCAGCUAACUUAGUGGCUUGGUAUGACCUUUUUAUUGUUUUUCAUGAUCCAUAGGUUGACUGGGGUUCAGGUAGAUGUCUCACAGCAUGCUCACAAAGCUAUGGAUGGGGCUGGAAUAUCCAAGAGGCUUCAUUCACAUGUCUGGCCCUUUGACAAGGACAACUGGAAGCUGGAGCCCAUAAGCCGAGCUACUGAUGGCUGAGUCUCUUGCUCUCACUGUGUAGUCUCAGGUCUCUCCUUUUCCCUGUGGCUCCUUCACAUGGUCUCUCCAGCAGUAGCAGGUUGGCUGAACUUCUUACAUGGCACCGAGGGAUUUCCAAAGAACAAUUCAGAAGCUGUCAUGGCUUCUGAUGACUUAGGCCCAGAACUGGCACAGAGUUGCUUCUGCCUCGUAUUGGUCAAACCAAGUCAUGCAGCCACCCUAGAUUUAGAGUGGGAAGGCACUAUGCAAGGAUGUGAAUAUUGGGAGGCACAAUUGACAGGCCAUUGGAUGUCCCCACUUCUAUCUCAGAAUAAAGUCCUCUGGGGGCGCCUGGGUGGCUCCAUCAGUUAAGUCCAACUCCUGAUUUUGACUCAGGCCAUGAUCUCAUGACUUGUGAAUUCAAGACCUGCCUAGAACUCUGUGCUGACAGCAUGGAGCCUGCUUGGGAUUCUCUCUCUACCCUUCUCCCCUCAAAAUAAAUAAAUAAAUAUUAAAAAAAAAAAGAAUACAGUCCUCUGAGGACCUCUGUGAACUACCUCCCACAGUGUCUGACCUCAACUCCAUCCUCCCUCCUUCCCUCACUUCUCUCUAGCUCCUCUGGCCCCCUUCAGCCUGAGACAGAUGGAAGGAAGCUUUCAGUGAGGUAUUGGUGGGAGCCUGAGUGAGUCUUGCCAGACAUGUAGGAAUCAUUUAGGUAAGCAAGUAAUGGUAAGGGAAUACCAAGAGAGGUUAAAACAUUUAAGAGCGCUGAAGAUUUUGAAAAUUACCAGUCAUGUGGUGAGAACAUAGAGUAGGUAAUGGUGUAUUGUGGAAGAUGAGGCUAAAAGAGACAAGGAGGAGCCAGCUGACAGAAAAUUAUGUGUCGAGCCAAAGAAUUUCAGUUUGGUUCCUUAGGUAUUAAAGAGUUGUAGGUAGGAAACACUUGAUUGGAUUUGAAUGUUAGAAAGAACACUCUUUGGGAUUUUGGGAGAUGCAGUAGAGACUGUAGAGAUUUAAAAAACAGAGAUACCAAUUAGGAGGUUAUUACAAACUAUCAGGUAAGACAUGUUGAAGGUCUUAGCAAGGCUGUCCCUAGAGUGCAUGAGUCCCUGGGCAAGAUAUUUUGGGGGAACCCUGUCUAUAUAAAAAAAAUUGAUUAAAAAUGUAUUACCAAGCUUAUGAGUCCAUAAAAGAUGAUUAACUUAUGGUUUAAGAAAUGGGUGAAGUAGAGAUUCUCAUAAUUGUUUUCUAUCCAAUCAGUGCAUAAAAAGAUUCUUUCUAGUAUCCUGGGCCCCACCUGCUCCUAUUCAGGUUUAGGAAGUAUCUCUUCAUGCUCUGUUGUGUUGAAUAUGAGGUUCCUGGCUAAUUUAUAUCUCCCAUGGCAAGAAAGGGUAGCAACACAGUUCUUACAAUGUCAUGGCUCUUGGUGAGCUGUUUAUAUAGAAGUAAUACAGGUCUUUUUUCUAUUAUUUAACUUUUUGAAAUGUUUAUUUAUUUCUGAGAGACAGAGACAGACAGAGUGCAAGCCGGGGAGGGGCAGAAAGAGAGGGAGAUACAGAAUCUGAAGCGGGGUCCAGGCUCUGAGCUGUCAGCACAGAGCCCAAUGCGAGACUCGAACCCACAAACUGUGAGAUCAUGACCUGAGCCGAAGUCAGAUGCUUAACUGACUGAGCCACCUAGGCACCCCAAUACAGAUCUUUUUAUUCCUAUAAUUCAUUAACAUCAGUUAUUUCAUGCCUGUUACAUCAUCACUCAUGAUGUGACAUCAUCCAUUGUACUGCUCUGAAUACUGGCUUGCAAUGUUUCUGUCAUGGGUUGUUAUUCUGUGUCAUUGGCGAUGACCACAAAUGCAAGUUUUGCUCAAGGUAUGCACAAAAAUGUGAACGAUAAUUUGUUUUCUGCUCAUAUUAAAUUUGUUGAUAAGAAUUUUAUACCUUAAAUGUAAAAUAGCACAUAUUUUAACCAUGCUUUCCUUUGAACUCUUUAGGCUGUAACCCCUGCAUUCCCAGAAUGUCAUCUCUUUUAGUGUUGAUCCCACUCCUGUCUUCCACCACCACCUGCAAAGAGGAUAGGAGAUGAGCCUCCGAGCCUGUCGGGAAGAGCAUAGUCCCAAUAGCCAUGCAAUGUCCAUCCCUCAUCUGGCAGGCCUUAAGAACAACCUGGGAGAGCACAAUGCCACCAUAUCAAUCCAAAGGAGAGAAAGGACAUUGAUCAGAAGGCCCAGUGUUAUUGCACAGCAACAAUUUCAAAAGCCCUUGGAGGAGACAGGCCUGGCCAUUACUAGGAGACUCUCUGACACGUGGUGCAGAACCUGAAAAAGGAACAGGGCAACUGCCUUGGAUGCCAGAAGCAAGAGAGGUCGGGGGUAAUGGAUUCC